rnacentral:rRNA from 1 species
UACGUAGGGUGCAGGCGUUAAUCGGAAUUACUGGGCGUAAAGCGUGCGCAGGCGGUUUCUUAAGUCAGAUGUGAAAGCCCCGGGCUUAACCUGGGAACUGCGUUUGAAACUGGGAGACUUGAGUGUGGCAGAGGGGGGUGGAAUUCCCGGUGUAGCAGUGAAAUGCGUAGAUAUCGGGAGGAACAUCUGUGGCGAAGGCGACACCCUGGACCAGCACUGACACUGAGGCACGAAAGCGUGGGGAGCAAACAGG